GGAGGGAUAGCUCAGUGGUAUAGCACGUGCUUAGCAUGCUCGAGGUCCUGGGUUCAAUCCCCAUUGCCUCCA
rnacentral:tRNA from 1 species